rnacentral:tRNA from 1 species
AUUUUUAUAGUUGAAUUACAACAAAAGCUUUUCAUGCUUUAAGUUUGGGUUAAAACCCCAGUAAAAAUU